rnacentral:misc_RNA from 1 species
GAAAUAGACUAAAGAUUAAGAGGGUUUUAUAGAUUAAUUAAAGUUUUUAAUGGGUUUUGGAUGAUCUAAAUACCGCAAAAGUAGGAUUCGAUCAACUGCAACAUUCUUUGUUUCACUCGAAAGAGAUUUUAAAUGAUAUUAGAAUUGGUGUCUUUUAAAUUCAUGAAUUUAAUAAAUUGAACUAGUUGGUGAUAAUCCUGAAUCUACUUGAAU